ACGAACGCUGGCGGCGUGGAUUAGGCAUGCAAGUCGAACGUGAAAGGAGGGGCAACCCUCCGAGUAAAGUGACGAACGGGUGAGGAACGCGUGGGAAAUCUGCCUUCGAACUGGGGAUAACCAUCCCAACGGGUGGCUAAUACCGAAUGUGAUCGCCGGGGGGCAUCCUCUGGCGAUUAAAGGUGGGGAUCCGAAAGGACCUGCCGGUCGAAGAUGAUCCCGCGUCCCAUUAGCUAGUUGGUGAGGUAACGGCCCACCAAGGCUACGAUGGGUAGCUGGUCUGAGAGGACGACCAGCCACACUGGGACUGAGAUACGGCCCAGACUCCUACGGGAGGCAGCAGUCGAGAGGCUUCGGCAAUGGGGGAAACCCUGACCGAGCGACGCCGCGUGGGGGAUGAAGGCCUUUGGGUUGUAAACCCCUGUCAAGUGGGACGAAACACUCUGAGGUGAUAAGCCGAGGGGUUUGACGGUACCGCCAGAGGAAGCUCCGGCUAACUCCGUGCCAGCAGCCGCGGUAAUACGGGGGGAGCAAGCGUUGUUCGGAAUUACUGGGCGUAAAGGGUGUCUAGGCGGCCUUGUAAGUCGGGGGUGAAAUCCACUGGCUCAACCAGUGACGUGCCUUCGAAACUGCUGGGCUUGAGUAUGGCAGAGGAGAGCGGAAUUCCAGGUGUAGCGGUGAAAUGCGUAGAUAUCUGGAAGAACACCGGUGGCGUAGGCGGCUCUCUGGGCCAAUACUGACGCUAAAGCACGAAAGCCAGGGGAGCAAACGGGAUUAGAUACCCCGGUAGUCCUGGCCCUAAACGUUGGAUACUAGGUGUAGGAGGCAUCGACCCCUUCUGUGCCGCAGCUAACGCAUUAAGUAUCCCGCCUGGGGAGUACGACCGCAAGGUUGAAACUCAAAGGAAUUGACGGGGGCCCACACAAGCGGUGGAGUAUGUGGUUUAAUUCGACGCAACGCGAAGAACCUUACCGGGGCUUGACAUGCACAGGACAGGCGUGGAAACACGCCCUCCCUUCGGGGUCUGUGCACAGGUGCUGCAUGGCUGUCGUCAGCUCGUGUCGUGAGAUGUUGGGUUAAGUCCCGCAACGAGCGCAACCCUUGCCCUUAGUUGCCAUCAUUCAGUUGGGAACUCUAAGGGGACUGCCGGUGAUAAGCCGGAGGAAGGUGGGGAUGACGUCAAGUCCUCAUGGCCCUUACGCCCCGGGCUACACACGUACUACAAUGGCCGGUACAGAGGGUCGCAAUGUCGCGAGACGGAGCUAAUCCCAAAAAGCCGGCCUCAGUUGGGAUCGCAGUCUGCAACUCGACUGCGUGAACGCGGAAUCGCUAGUAAUCGCGGAUCAGCACGCCGCGGUGAAUACGUUCCCGGGCCUUG
rnacentral:rRNA from 1 species